AACUAAGGCUUUAAAAGCUUGAUAUUCAUAUGAUGAAGACAUGAUCUUUCAAUCAGUUUAAUUGAAGUCUUGAGCUGUCUUGUCAGUAACUUCUAGUAGUCCUUUGUUAAUUUAUGUAUUAUUGUCAUUUUAAUUUGUUGUUUUUUUGUGUUUUUUUUUCCCUAUUCUGACAUCGGAAUCAGACUUCUGAUAAACUGAUUUUUAAUGAGUGUAGUACUGUGAGUUUGUUUAUUCUACAUUGGCUAGAGGUAAAAGGGGAGAAUUGGGAUCUCCAAAUACAUUGUACAUGUUUAACCCCGCCGCAUUUUUGCGCCUGUCCCAAGUCAUGAGCCUCCGGCCUUUGUUAGUCUUGUAUGAUUUUUAAUUUGAGUUUAUUUGUAUAUAUAUCGAAGUUUAGUAUAACGUC
rnacentral:lncRNA from 1 species